UACGUAGGGUGCGAGCGUUGUCCGGAAUUAUUGGGCGUAAAGAGCUCGUAGGCGGUGUGUCGCGUCGGCCGUGAAAACCUGGGGCUCAACUCUGGGCGUGCGGUCGAUACGGGCAUCACUUGAGUUCGGCAGGGGAGACUGGAAUUCCUGGUGUAGCGGUGAAAUGCGCAGAUAUCAGGAGGAACACCGGUGGCGAAGGCGGGUCUCUGGGCCGAUGACUGACGCUGAGGAGCGAAAGCAGUGGGUAGCGAACAGG
rnacentral:rRNA from 1 species